CGACGAUCUCAGGGAAAGAUGGAAGCACCGGUGAUGACGGCCGGGGCCGGGUGUAGUUACCAACGUACUCCACGAUUCCUGUGGUGGGGAUGUAAAUAUGCGACAACGGGGUGGAGUAUACUCUGGCGGCCAUGUAAUAACGGCUGGGCGGCUGGUUGGCUUCCAGAAGGAAAUCUAUGGUCUGGCCGGGGUGAUCGCGAUGUGAUCGGUGUUCAGCGGCUUCGUGUAGGCGCCGUCCACGCCCACCACCGUCACAUUGUGGUCCUUGAUUUUCAAGUACAUAAUGAAGUUCAUCAUUGCGUUAACCAUUCUGAUCAGGGAUACAGGUCGCCAGGUUGACCAUUCAUGAGGAAAGCAUCAGGCAAUUUGGCACCGGCUCCUUGGGCUAGAAAAUCCUCGUAAACUUGUUGCACAUCAUCAUUCCACCACUCUCCUGCAUGCAACAUUAAUUAAUAGAAUUCCAACACAAUUAAUAUUGGUCGAGAAUUUUAAUACCUAGUAAGAUAGGAACUUGAGCAUGAGGCUUAGGGAAAGGAUAAGUGUGUGUCUUGGGCGGUAGAAUGAUGAUGGCGCCAUGCACAGUAGCUCGAGUCCAAUCGAUGUGGGCGUGCCAAAACAAAGUGCCUUCUUCGUCGGAGAGCAGAAUUCGUUGUCGAAAGCUUUUGCCGGGAGUAAUAGGACACUGCGUGACAGCGUCGACGCCAUCUGUCCAUGGAUAUCUCGGCAUUUUUACUCCAUGCCUGAAAUCGAUCGCCAUUUAUAUAUGCUUAUAUAUGAUGAUAUAUGAUCAGUUUCAUGCAAAUGCUUUUAAUUUGACGUACCAAUGGAUAGUUAUAUUUGCAUCGGAACGAUUAAUAACAUCGACUACCACCAAUUCUCCCCUUCGAGCAUAUAUAGUUGGCCCUGGGAACUGCCCGUUUACCGUUAGCAUGCUUUUGGUGGUGCAUAGCCUGGUGUGUGAAGAUCUUCUCACCUGCAAACUUACACUUCCAAUUAGCUACCUUUUCUAUAAAUAAAAAACAAAAUCAAUUAAUUAAUAUUAUUA